ensembl:lncRNA
UUUAAAGUCAUAACAGUCCAAUUUAUUGCAUUUUAAACAGACACCAUCCACAGGGCAGGAAAGACUCUCCUGUUUCUUCAUACAUCAUAGGUUAGAGGAAAGAUAAUCACAGUUGCUAUUCAAAUACCACAACAAAAAGGGAGACCAGCUCCGAAAAAAUGAAUCAUUUUCAUAUAACAAACUGCUUCUCUGCCAGCAGAUCAGUGACUUUGAGAAGACUUCAGGCGUCACAAUGCCGACUGAGUUAGUUGUUUAAGGCACAAGUUCAGUCUUUGGUUUGUUUCUGUCCCUUUAAAAUCCAGGAGGUACCAAAGAGAAAACAUCUAGCUUCUUAAUAAUCUCUUUAUCGGCUGCAUUCACACUGCAGGAUUACUGCAAAAUAGAGCUGUUGGUCCCAUAGGAAACAAAGGAAGAAGGCGUCACUUGGCAAAUUUUUGUGUAAAAACUCAAAAACUACAAAAACCAAAAACAUCAAAUCAGUCUGGAUUAUUUCAGAUGGAGGUGUUGCUCCAUUAUCUCAGAUUCAGUUCAGAGUUUGCUUGUCUUUGUUGAAUUAUGAGUUUAUGUGAAGUAUGUGGCUUGGAACAUUCAAUAAGGUGAAAUCAGCUUCAUAUGUUAAAUUGAAGACAACAUGGAAGCAACCUGAUACUUUGCACGUACAAUGACAAUAUAUAGGAACUAUGAACCCCAGGUUUCAUGCUCUACAUUAACAUUUUGUCAACAUAGCAAAAAAACCACAAAUCAAAUCCUACUGAUAUUAGGGGCCUUAAAAGAUGGUAAAAUAUUAACCAAAGACUGUAUUUUUAGUGGAAAUAUGGAGACAUCCGUAUGUAUAUAUAUAUAUAUAUAUAUAUAUAUAUAUAUAUAUAUAUAUAUAUAUAUAUAUAUAUACCUACAGGAACUUUCUGGGGCUAAAAUACUAACUUUGGUUGAACAUUUUUGCACGUUUAUUAAUUUUCAAAGGCCAAUAUUUAUUCACAAUUGUCAUUUUGGACAAUUUUGAAUUAUUUUUGCACAAUUUUCAAGGGAUUUUUGGACAACUUUGAGUCAUUUUGGACACGUCAAGUCAAUGUAGUAAAAACAGAAACUUGUCUUGCCAUAUCUGUCACAAAUUAAGUCCUACUGAUGUUAGAGACCUCAAAAGUUGGUGAAAUGCUAAUUAAUGACUGUAUUUUAGUAGGAAAUAUGGAUACAUCCAUAUUUAAACACCUACAUAAACUUUCUGUGGCUGCAAUACCACCAAAGUUUGAAAGUAAAUAAUUAUUCAUUAUUGGCAUUUUUAGACGAUUUUGAAUCAUGCAUAACUUACAAGUCAUUUUGGACAAUUUUGAGUCAUUUUGGACAGAUGUCAAGUCAAUAUGGCCAAAAACUAGAACCUUAUCUUGACAUAUUUGUCAAAAAUCUAAUCCCAGUGAUGUUAGAGGCUUUAAAAGUUGGUGAAAUGUUGACCAAAGACUGCAUUUUGUUGCAGGAAAUAUGGAUACAUCAGUUUUCAAAGGCCAAUAGUUAUUCGUUAUUGCCAUUUUUGGACAGAUUUGGGUCACUUUGGAUAGGUGUCAAGUCAAUAUAGUGAAAAAUUGGAACCUUGUCUUGCCAUAUUUGUCACAGAACUAAUCCCACUGAUGUUAGACCCUCAAAAAUUGGUGAAACGUCGACCAAAGACUGCAUUUUACCAAGA